AGGUGAAGAUGACUUUCAGGAUAUAUCGAAAGGCCCACGAACGGAGUAGACGCAUGGUACUGUCCGUUGUCUGGGAGUGCAGAGUAUACUGGAUUCACUUUGGUAUCAUAGCACACUCCUAAGGGACAGCAUGCGCCAGCCAUCUCAUCAGGAACUCGACUACAUCAGUCAACAAGUUUGUUAUGGCUGGUAGAAGGAACAACAAUGAGUUAGGUGGUCAGAACAACCAGUUCUUAGAAGGAUUUACUGCACUCCUACAGGAGCAGAACCAUAUUCAUGGGGGGCAGAUUCAACAACUAUUGCAGGCUAGAGAACAGGAGAGCACACCUAGACGUCCUACACCUAGCGUGCACUCGGUCUACAAGCAAUUUCGGGAGUUAGGACCGACGAAGUUCAAAGGCACCACAGAUCCGAUUAUUGCAGAAGGAUGGAUUCGAUCUCUGGAGAUGAUAUACGACUUCAUGUAGCUCACUGAUGCAGAUAAGGUCAGGUGCGCAAUAUUUAUGCUGCGAGAUGAUGCACGGGUAUGGUGGGAAGGUGCACGGUUGACGGUGGACUUGGCCACAUUGACAUGGGCGAAUUUCAAGGAGGUAUUCUACGAGAAAUACUUCACCCCUGACAAUAGGACACGGUUGGCAAGGGAAUUCUUGGAACUUCGUCAGGGAGAUCUGAUGGUUGCAGAGUAUGCCAGAAGGUUCGAAAGGGGACGUUACUUCGUACCCAUGAUCGCCAGCCAACUAGUUGAGGAGUUGAAGCACUUCACUGAAGGAUUGAGAGCAACCAUUCGCCAUGACGUCAGACUGAGCCGGGUCACCACAUUCAGGGAGGCAGUUGACCAGACACUGAUGUCUGAAAGGGACAGAAAUGACAUGGUCAAGGAAGCCCAGAACAAGAGGUUGAGCUAUCAGGGAAGGGAACAACAAGAGCCGGGCAAGAAGAAGUCAAUUUCUAGCCAAUAUCCAGGCAAGCAACCACUUAGACAGGCACAACCACGUCCUCAGUUUCAAAAACCACAACCAGCUGAAGGUACUACUUCUAAGGUUGAGAACAAAGUCCGGUGCCCCAAGUGCGAGAAGAUACAGGCUGGACAGUGUCUGACGGGUACCGAUGUCUGCUAUAUGUGUAAGAAGGUAGGACAUUUUGCUAGGGACUGCCCACAGCUUAAGGAGCCAACCAAAGGGAGAGUAUUUGCUAUGACACAGGAGUAGGUGGAACUAGACACAGCUAUCAUCACAGAGGCCUAUCCAUUUACUGUCGAAAAGAUCAGUAAAUUGAGAGAGGAAGUGGAGAAUGCUAAGAAGGAUCAAACUCUUCGAAGUAUCUUAGUUUCAUCUUCCCAUGACUACUUGAUCACAAAUGAUAGAUCUAAGGUUUUUGUUUCAAAUCUCAAAGGAAAAAUAGUGGCUUUGUACAUCUCAUGCAAUAGGGAUUGUUGCAGUGAGUUCUCUCCAAUACUCGCACAAAUCUACAAGAAGCUCAAGGAAAUUGGAGAGAGCUUUGAUUUUGUGCUAGUGUCCUUGGAAGACGACGAAUCCUAUUACGAUGAAGCCAUAGAAAACAUGCCCUGGCUUGCAUUUCCUUUCAAUGACAAAAGUUGCGAUAAGCUUUUUUGCUAUUUUGGUCUCCAGGAAUAUAAAUGCUCUACUGUCAUCUUGAUUGGAUCGGAUGGGAAAACUAUGAAUGUAGAUUUAAUGAACUUAUUAAAGAGUAUGAAUUUGAGGCAUGGGAAGCAUUCUCGUUUUCUCAGGAGAAGUUGCAUGAGUUGUCAGAAAAAGUAAAGGCCAGACUUGAGUCACAGACACUCGAGUCACUUCUUGUUUCGGAUGAUCUUGAUUAUGUUAUUGGAAAAAAUGGAUUGAAGAAUAUUCACCAUGUUGGUCAACCAAUGCUUGGUGAGGAGCAAGAAGAUAUAGUCAUAACCAGUGCCCAGAAUAACCUAUUAAAUAUGAAGUGCCCUUGGACAGGAAAGCCUGUUACAGAAUUACAAAAUCCUGUCCGCUGGUAAAAUAGUGCUUCACUCUUUACCAAAGUUUUGUAGUUAUGUUUUUAUCCAAUAUAAAUUAAAAUUUUCUAAUUUUUUGUUUGUUAGUAAUGAAAGAUGAAAACAUAACGGUCAAGUGAGAUUGUUUCAUAUGUACAAAGCCAUUUUUUUUCUUUGUGAAUGAACAAAUAUUAAACGGUUCACAAGUUAACUAAAAACAACUAUUUUAAGUGAACUUCUUUCUUAAAAUAUAGAGCUUGGUUUCUUUGGAAAUCAUGUUCCUUCUUGAACCAUAUUCAAUUUGGCAUGAGUCCUUAUUUGAUUAGUUGCGAACUAUGAAUUUGUGUGCAUUGUAGAAUACAAUGUGAGAUAUGUUAAUGUCGUAGACAACAUUCCCUAGCUUUCUACUUAUAUUUCAUUCUAACAACUCAAAAAAUCCUUUUAACAUAUUCUGUUGAUUCAAUUGUUCAUGUUCCUUGAACAAUGCUUAAUGUAUAUUUAUUUAUAAAGUGAUGAAGAAGCUUAUGACUAGUCUGUUUCACAUUUUUUUUUGUUCCCAAGCAAAAGGUAUGUUAUUAUUAUUAUUAAAGUCAUAAACCGUGUUCUUUCUAUCUGUUGUUCUUCAUCAAGCAAGAUGGACUACAAGCAUAUUUAUGAGAAGGAACCAGUAAUCCACUACAUAAGCAGAAAGAAACCACAUCCUCGAUGCCCAGCUGUAGGUUGCCCAAAAAUUCUCCAAGUUGGACGAGUUGUAUGCGACGCCUUGCUUAUAAUAGAAAUUGAUGAAAUGCAUUUGGCAUCAGCUACAAACAUAAAUUCAACAAUGGUAGAAGAUUUUUACAGAAGUUGACUGAAAAUGGAAACACUACUCCCUGCAACUGUAAUCUUGAUAUAAUUUUUCAAGGUGAUUUAGCCUCUGUCGGUGAUUUGUCAUCAGCCAAUGCAAUUUAGGCAUCAUAGUUAAUUAUCUUUUGAUGUUGUAAGAGGAAUAUUUGUGUAAUUUGUGG